CUACGGGGGGCUCCAGUGGGGAAUAUUGGGCAAUGGAGGCAACUCUGACCCAGCAAUGCCGCGUGAGUGAAGAAGGUUUUCGGAUUGUAAAGCUCUUUGAUUAGAGACGAAGAAAGUGACGUUAUCUAAAGAACAAGCCCCGGCUAACUACGUGCCAGCAGCCGCGGUAAUACGUAGGGGGCAAGCGUUGUCCGGAAUUACUGGGCGUAAAGGGUGUGUAGGCGGUCUGUUAAGUUAGAAGUGUAAUACCCAGGGCUCAACCCGGGUGCUGCUUCUAAAACUGGCAGACUUGAGUGCAGGAGAGAGUAGUGGAAUUCCUAGUGUAGCGGUGGAAUGCGUAGAUAUUAGGAGGAACACCAGUGGCGAAGGCGACUACUUGGACUGUAACUGACGCUGAGACACGAAAGCGUGGGGAGCAAACAGGAUUAGAUACCCCGGUAGUC
rnacentral:rRNA from 1 species